rnacentral:rRNA from 1 species
UAGGGAAUCUUCCACAAUGGACGAAAGUCUGAUGGAGCAACGCCGCGUGAGUGAAGAAGGUUUUCGGAUCGUAAAACUCUGUUGUAAGGGAAGAACACGUACGAGAGUAACUGCUCGUACCUUGACGGUACCUUAUUAGAAAGCCACGGCUAACUACGUGCCAGCAGCCGCGGUAAUACGUAGGUGGCAAGCGUUGUCCGGAAUUAUUGGGCGUAAAGCGCGCGCAGGCGGUCCUUUAAGUCUGAUGUGAAAGCCCACGGCUCAACCGUGGAGGGUCAUUGGAAACUGGGGGACUUGAGUGCAGAAGAGGAAAGCGGAAUUCCACGUGUAGCGGUGAAAUGCGUAGAGAUGUGGAGGAACACCAGUGGCGAAGGCGGCUUUCUGGUCUGUAACUGACGCUGAGGCGCGAAAGCGUGGGGAGCAAACAGGAUUAGAUACCCUGGUAGUCCACGCCGUAAACGAUGAGUGCUAAGUGUUAGGGGGUUUCCGCCCGUUAGUGCUGCAGCUAACG